AGCGCAUCCUGAGCCAGCCCGGCCGCCUGCGCUGCGUUUGGCUGGUGGUUCCCGUGUCCCCGUUCCCAGCAUCGGGCUCAGCACGGCCCAGGUCCUGUCCCCGUCACUGAGGGGUCCAUGCUGAUGGUGCUCUCCAGGGCACAGAACUCCUGACAUCCAGACCUUCUUUGGUAUGAGAGUCUGUCUUAUCACAGCCCGAGGAGAUACAGGCUCUCUGGAGCAUGGGGGCUCCUUGUACCUCUUCUCAGAGUCUCCUGGAAUUCAUGUAAAACAUCCAAACUGUAAAAGGCAGAUCUCAAGGAACACAAAGAAGGUUAACAAAUAUCCGUGGAAAAUUUUUCUUUCCGAGCAGAGACUCCACACAAUUACUCAGACUACAAAUGACCAUCAUAGGGGUGAUGAUGUCCUGAUAAAUUUUAAUUGGCAGGAGUUACAAAUGAAAUUCCUUAUCAUCAACAUAACUUUUGCGCCUUCAGAGCUGGGAUUAUUCCUGUGGCAUUAAUCCACUGCAGAUAACCAAAGUCACCAGAGGGAGGAGAAGGGGAUUAAAGAAGAGCUGUGUGCCGCUACUGAGGAAUGCUGGUGGGAGAUGGCAGGGAGAGGACCACACUGGAACUGUUGUCUGAUAACUGAGGAUGUUCUGGAG